AUGAACGCUGGCGGCGUGCCUAAUACAUGCAAGUCGAACGAGAGCCCUUGUAGCAAUACGAGGGUUUCUAGUGGCGAACGGGUGAGUAACGCGUUGGUGAUCUGCCCCGAAGUGGGGAAUAACAGUCCGAAAGGAUUGCUAAUACCCCAUGUGGUUGCGAGAGUUAGAGGUCUUGCAACUAAAGGAGUAAUUCGCUUCGGGAGGAGCCUGCGUCCCAUCAGCUAGUUGGUAGGGUAAUGGCCUACCAAGGCGGAGACGGGUAGGGGACCUGAGAGGGUGACCCCCCACACUGGAACUGAAACACGGUCCAGACACCUACGGGUGGCAGCAGUAGGGAAUAUUGCACAAUGGACGAAAGUCUGAUGCAGCAACGCCGCGUGUGCGAUGAAGGCCUUCGGGUUGUAAAGCACUUUUAUGAGGGAAGAGCAAGGACUGUACCUCAUGAAUAAGGAUCGGCUAACUACGU
rnacentral:rRNA from 1 species